AUUACAUCAUUAAGCUUAAGGCUCUUUGUCUCAGCACAUCAAAGAAAUGGGAUCCCAGACCUCCAAAUGUGGUGCCCCAUCAUCAUCACAAAACUCACAAGAUGUAAUGAAAAGGAUUAAACGGCAAAAACAACAAGAACAACGUGGAGUUCCAUCUGAAAGAAAUCAGUCGGGUGGAGGGAGGUCACAAGGAAGUUCUGGAGGCAAUGCGGGACAUCAGGGAAGCAGCCAGUGAACUGGAACUCCAAGGAAGAAGAGCGACGUUGACCUGAGCACACUGAGAAACAUUGACAUCGGAGAAGACUUCCUCAAUCUUAACAAUGCUUGAUGUUCAGAUAUAUGUGCAUGAAGAACAUUAACUGAAUUUUGUGAUGUACAAUUUUACUAGUUUUUUGCGGGCUCCCCGCCAGGUGCCCUACCCGGUGCGGGAGUCUUAUUGAUCAGUGUUCAUUUUAGUGAAGUUGGAAGUUAUUUAUUCCGUGUUUUGAACAACCAGACUGUGAUGGUACACAGUGUUAACAUAAAUUAACUAAAUGUUCAGUCUCCUGUUCAAAUAUAUAUUUAAUUAAUGUAAUUAAUAUCAUAAAUGUGCAGUAUGAAAAGAGACAAAGAAAUCCUGGACUAAGCCAGCUGUCCUGACUUGUUCAUAUAUUUUUGGUUGUCACUCCAGUAGCUGUCAUUGUUGUUGCCUUGUCAUUUCUCACAUGUAUUCCUGUCUUAACAUUAAUCGCAUAUCUUGCACGAAUAAAUAUAUAAAUAAAUAUAA